rnacentral:piRNA from 1 species
UNGAUGUGUAAGUCUUGCACUCAGGGAAGC